UACGUAGGGGCCUAGCGUUGUCCGGAAUUAUUGGGCGUAAAGAGCUCGUAGGCGGUUCGGCAAGUCGGAUGUGAAAUCUCCACGCUUAACGUGGAGGGGCCAUUCGAAACUGCUGUGACUCGAGUCCGGUAGGGGAGUGUGGAAUUCCCGGUGUAGCGGUGAAAUGCGCAGAUAUCGGGAGGAACACCAGUAGCGAAGGCGGCACUCUGGGCCGGUACUGACGCUGAGAAGCGAAAGCAUGGGGAGCGAACAGG
rnacentral:rRNA from 1 species